rnacentral:lncRNA from 1 species
GUUUGCUUAGCACAUGUGAGGCACUGGGUUUGAUCCUCAGCACCACAUAAAAAUAGAUAAAUAAAAUAAAAAACUGUACUUUAAGAGUUUGAUGAUAUAGUUUAUUAAUGAUAUACAAAUAAUUAUUAUAACUUUUCUUCAUCCUUUUACAUUUCAGAGAAAACAUUUUGAAGAAAACUGGACACAGACUGAGCAAAACCAAACAGAAGAGCAAAAGAAAAAGAAACAAAAAGCAUAAUAUUCUUACUGAAAUUGUGGAUGAAAACUCAUUUGAAACCUUAAAUUAUCUUAAAAUAGGAGAUCAGGUCCCAAAUGAAGAGGAAGAUUUUGAAGAGAACGAAAGAGAAUCAGUGUGUCCCUUCACUGGUGGCCAUUUCGUGAAUGGCUAUAAAGAAAAAAGUCAGAAAAGCAUAGAUCCUGAAGACAAUUUUCCAAAUGUUAUAUCUAUAGUUGAGUUGGACAAGACACCAGAUAAUUACUUCCCUAAGGAAAAUGAUGACUUGUUUCUAACUUUGUCAUCAAUCCCAAAUGAAAGCUCUGUAACUUGUCCAACAGGGACUCAAAAUCUUUCCUAUGUAACAAGGGAUGACUCCUUGGGUAUGAAGAUAGAAAAGCAUGUUGGAAAUAGGCAAAACUUAUCAUUAGACACCCAGGAACUAUUUGCUGAUAAAACCCCAUGUUCAUUUAUGCAGAAAAGAGAGAUGGUAAAUAAAAGUCUCUCAAAUGAACCAAUUCUUUGCCAUCAACGUGGAUCCCGAACUUCAGAUAAUGUUUUAAGAGAGGAACAAGGAGUGCAUACAACUAAAAACAAUUAUUGGGCUUUUUUCACAACCAAUUCAUCUGAAGAAGAAUUACAACGAGGCUCUGAAAGACAAUCUUAUUUUGGUAGCUGGCCUGAGGGACCGCAUAAGUUUGUAUGUGAACAGAGACCAAAGAAAGAUAGAUCACGUAAACUGACCCAUCCUGACAGUGGAGAACAAUUGAUUAAAUUAAUCUCCACUUCUGAAGGAGUAUCAGGACCAGGAAGUGGUCCAGAAAUAUUGACAGAGGAGAAACUACUGAUAGAAAAUGAAGAUUUGUCACAUCCAACUGAAACUAUAGAUUCAUUCAUGAAAACAGACACAAAUAUCCUCAGCAGCUACUUAUCACAACUGGACAUCACCCAAAGUGCCUUACAAUCAACAACUAAUAAGAAAAGGAGAGAGAAUAGAAUUUUAAAUUUGGUACCAAACUUACUGGGACAGAGUCAUUUCAAUGCAAAAAAAGGGGAGAAAUGUGGCCUGUUACCUAAAAACUUUGGAUUGAACAUUAUUUGGGGAGAAAUAAAAGAUAGAAUUUCAGAAAUCAAUAACCAAGAAGAGAAUGAGCAAAAAGUUAUGAUCUUUGAUCAUCAUUCAUUGUGGUUUUACCCUGAUAUUAUCAAAGAUUCAUCUCUAAAUAUUGGUGGAAAUUUUUAUUCUCACUACUUGUCAUUUAGUAGACUAGGGUAUGCUCUGUAUUUUUACAGAAGCCCUAUUCCUUCUCUUGUAUUGCAUUAUAUAUCUAGCUUUUGGAUGGUAUCUUUUACCAACAAAAAAACGUUUUUGACUUUCAAAUCACAAACAAGAAUAGGCAAUAAGCUAAAAGAUGUAGGGUUUAUUUCUUCAGAAAUUUUAAUUAGGCAACCUGAUACUUUGUGCUCUUUGAGGGGUACCUCUGAAAGAUUUGGUGAAAAGCUGAAGAGAUGGGAAGAAUCUAAGCCAUUACAGUGUUUACCAACUGAGGAUCUCCAAAAUUUAACAAGCACUGAUUUUAAUACCUUUGAGCUUCCAUUAUCAAAAGGAUUUGCCUUUCAACUAGUAACGCUUUUUGGAUCUCCUGGAGUUCCAAUGGGUAAAUUGCUUUCAUUUACUAACAAUAAAAGGUCUAUGUGCAGUAAAUUCUUAUUUUUUUAUAUAUCAUAUAUAUAUAUAUAUAUAUAUGGAUAGAUAUUUGUCAUAUAUAUGUGUGUGUAUAUAUGUGUGUGUGUGUGUGUGUGUAUAUAUAUAUAUAUUUUUUUUUAUUUUUUAUUUAUUUUUUUGUGGUGCUGGGGAUUGAAACUAGGGCCUUGUACCUGUGAGGCAAGCACUCUACCAACUGAGCUAUAUCCCUAACCCCUGUCAUAUAUAUUUAUAUAUAAAUUUUACACAUGAAAAUUUUAAGUGUCUGUUCCAAAACCAACCAAGAGUAAAUUUAAAUGGCAAAUGGAAACUAAAAAGAAAAACAAAAAGAACCAUUUAUAGCACAAAAUAAAGCACUAAUAUUCUUUUUAAAAAAUUAUUUGCUAUCUUAUUGAAUUUGGAGAGUUCUUAUAUAUUCUGGAAACAUAUUAGAUAUAUACUUUAAAACUAUUUCCAUCUGUCUAUGGUAUCUUCUUGUCCUAUUCAUUAAGUGUCUUCUAAAGAGUAGAAGUUUUUAAUUAUGAUGAAGUCAAAUUUAUCAUUGCUAUCUUUUAUAAAUUGUGGUUUGGGUUUUAACCAAGAAAUCUUGGGGUACCCCUGGCUUAAAAAGUAUUUUUCCUAUCUUCUCCUGAAAGUGUUUCAGUUUUGGAUUUCACAUUUAUAUUUAUGAUCCAUUUUUAGUUUGUGAACAUGAUAUAAGGAAUCGAUUGAAGUUUUUCUUUUUCUAAAGUAUGGAUAUUUAGUUUUAGGACCAUUUAGUGAGAAUACUUUCCUUUCUCCACUCAAUUGAAUUUGUACCCUUAUUUAAAACAAGUUUAUGUAUACAAUUAUUUUUUUUUAAAAUUUUUCCAUAGCUUUAUUGGGGUAAAACAGAAGUCAAUAAAAUAUACAUAUUUGAAGUAUGCAAUUUGAUCAGUUUUGACAUGUAUGUAACCUAUACAAUCAAUAUUAAACUCAUUUCCAUUACUUUUUUAAAAUUUGAAAUCAUGCAGACUGUGUUUCCUGCAGUAAUAUUCUUAAUAGAAAGUGCUCUCAUAAGUCAAUAAGAAAGCAAGUAAAUUCUUAAGUUGUUUCUACCUGGUGUUAGUGAUUUCAUGUAAUUUAUUGGUUGUGUGAUAACUUUUAACCCCCAAAAUGAGGAUCCUUAGUUAAGGAACUUUGCCUUUUACAGUUCCCAUCCCUUGCCACCAGAAUAGUCUUCAUAAAUGUCAUUGAGUGCCUAAAAUAUCUGGACUCUCCAUUUAAGUAGACACUGAGAAGAAUGAAGGAUGAGGCGGACAUACAGUGACCAUGUAACAGAGAUGGGCUGCUUUAUUAUUACUUUUUUCAAACUUUCUACUUUUUACCUUUCCCUUGUUUGGCACAUGGCCCUUUUCUCAUGCACAAUUUUGGCUCCCAGAUAUGAGAUUAGUAGAGAUAGCAAAGAUUAAAUGACAAAGACGUUGGAAAUAGUUGAAUGUAUUUUUUAAAGAUUGAGAAGGGUUCUAACAAGAUUAGGAGAGAGUUCAAGUAGUUAGAAAUGUUUUCAAGUUGACUAGUUGAACUCUCUCCUAAUCUCUUAAGAAUGUUAUUUUUGGGGGCUGAGAUUGUAGUUCAGUGGUGAAGCACUUGCCUCACAUAUAUGAGGCACUGGUGCUGAUCCUCAGCACCACAUAAAAAUAAAUAAAAGUGAUAAAGGUAUUGUGUCCAUCUACAACUAAAAAUAUAUAUUUUUUAAAAAAGAAAAUAUUUUUUGAAAAUGAAAAAUCCACCUGUGAAUAAAACAAGGGAAUAUAUGAUUAUCAAUAUUCUAAGUAAAUUUAUAUUUAAUAAUAAUCAUAUUUAAGAUGCUAACUGUCCUAUAGAGGAAAUGGAACACAAAUCCCAACUUUUCCUUCUCUAUUACUCAAUACCUGAUGCUUUCCUAGUACUCUUCCUUAGGAAUAGGUUAAGAGCCAAGAAGCCAAAGUUCCAAUCCCUGGAACUUUGUUCUCCAGUUCUUUUGGAUCUUCCUGUUCUCCUUUACCUACUUGGGUUCCCACACCAUGCUCUGUCUCAAAACAUGUCCUUCCUGGUUUUUCACUUUGCCCCUAAACUUAUGAUGUUCCAGAUAAACUUGGUCUCAGGAACUCAGACCAAAAAUUGCCUAAGUCUCAGUGUGGAGGUCAUAAUUAUCAAUCUAGUUUUGAUAUUCUGAUAUCACAUUGAACAUACUUGUUACCUUUAUGAAAAACUGCAAUUUUUCUAUCCUAAUAAAUGUGCCAACAAGCAAACCAAAAAAACCCCUCGAUUUUUUAAAUUUAAAAUGCAUGAGAAGCUAAUUUUUGAGGCUUUCUCCUUGCUUUUUAAUUCUUAGCCAAGAAUAAACCUUCACUGCUAAAAAAUAAAUAUAAUGAAUAAAUAAAUGAAAUAUGUUUGUUUUGAAGAAUUUUAAGACAUUUUAGGCCAGGGAUCUUAGUUCAAGGUUUAUAUUCUGAAAUUACAUGCAAAUUUUUUUGGUAUUAUUUUGUGCCCCUUUCUUGGUGGAAGUCCAUAGAUUUUAUUAGCUUCUCCUAGAGGUCCAUGACCCAGAAAGAUUAACAGUUACUGCCUUAGAUCAGUAAGAAAAAGCAAGAAGUCACAGGUGUAAAGAUUCUAAACCUCUUCCUCUCUUGAAUCAACAAUGAUCAAGCAUCCAUUAAUUAGACUUCAAAAACUUUUUAAAGGAAAUAGACCUUAUUCAUCAAAUAGCUUACUUUCUAACUGGGGAAACAAAAAUAACAAAAUACAAUUACUGCACAUAGAAAAUAUACAUGACAAGCUUAUGAAUAUUUUAUGAGCGAGAUUAGCAGUGCUAAAGGGAUUGUUGAAGAGAAGAUGGGGUUGUGGUUUUGUUUGGGAUCCUUUCAUUAUGAAAGUGAAUUAUAAGCAGUCUUUAUACAAAAGAAAAAGAAUAUGGCUUGAAAAACAAGCAAAGAGAAAGAAUUUCACAUUUGAAAAUGGCAUGUGCUUACAAAAAGGGAGAGAAAGAAACUCUAAGUGGAGGCUGUAAACUGAUUUGCUUGGCUAAAUUGGACAAGCCAAGCCAUGAUGUAUGAUCAGUGGCCUUGUAAAUAAGGCAGGGAACUCAAAUGAAUCCUAGUAAAAGAAAAAUAAUUUUUGUGGUUUGGCAUGGCUGAUGUUGUAUGUUAUGGUUGUGUGUUAAUGUUUGGACUUGUUUAUGAGCUGCUUCAUUUUGAGGAAAAUUUCCCCCAGACACUCAUAUGGAAGAAACAAUUUUUAGGAAGACUAAAUUUGCUAUAGCUGAAAUGCUUAAUACGUGUCACAGAAAAGGAUGACUAUUUAAAUUUUAUGCCUUGAGACAGUACCACUUAAAGCUAUUAUAUAUGUGUAUGUCUUUAUGUAUAUAUAUUUGUACUUAAUGAGAGUAUGGACUAUGAUACAUAUCAUUUUAUAUAUGUACUUAAUAAGAAUUUUCUUUUAGUCUGGGUACUGUUUACUAAUAGAAGUCUGAGACGGACUCUUGAUUUAGCCAACACUGAAAUAUCUUCAAAAUCAGAGUGUUAAUGUUAUAGCAGCUUACAUUGCAUAUCUUUACAUUUAGGGUGAAAAAUCUGUGUGACAUAUGUGAUGAAAUUUGUUUCUCCUUUUUUUUUUCACAGAAUCCUUAUUACCUGAUGACUAUGUUAUUCCCCUUGACUGGAAAACACUGAAGAUGAUCUAUUUGCAAUGGAAGAUGUCAAUAGAGGUAUAUUUUUAUAGCUUUCACAGAAGAUCUUCUCUUAACUGUUUUUUUAAAACUUGAAAUCAGAACCUAGCAAGGGCCUAAAGCAACUUAGCAAGACCCUGUCUCAAAAAAUAAAAAGCCUUGGGGAUAUGGCUCAGUGGUUAAGAACCCCUGGUUUCAAUUUUCAGUACAAAAUAAAAAUUAAAAUUGGAGAAAAUCUGUUCAUCACACUUAACAGAGAAGUGCUACAUCCAUUAUAUUAAAUUAGAAGAUGGUGGGGUGUAGGGAGAAGGAAUUAUUAUUAUUUUAAUAUUAUUUAUUUAUUUAUUUAUUUUUUUAGUUUCAGCGGACACAACAUCUUUGUUUGUAUGUGGUGCUGAGGAUCGAACCUGGGCCGCACACAUGCCAGGCGAGCGCGCUACUGCUUGAGCCACAUCCCCAGCCCCAUGAAGGAAUUAUUUUAAGAGAGAGAAUUUUUAAUAUUUAUUUAUUUAUUUUUUAGUUUUCGGCAGACACAACAUCCUUGUUUGUAUAUGGUGCUGAGGAUGGAACCCGGAGCCGCACGUAUGCCAGGCGAGCGCGCUACCCCUUGAGCCACAUCCCCGGCCCAAGAAGGAAUUAUUUUAAAAACAAGAAAAAGAAUGUGUGGGGCUGGGGAUGUGGCUCAAGCUUGCUCGCUCGCGCUCUCUCUCUCUCUCUCUCUCAAAAAUUUUCUCUCUUUAAAAAUAUUUUUCUCUCUCUAAAAAAAAAAAAAAAAGAAUGUGUGGAUUAGUAGAUAAUAUAUGCAAGUUUUCUUUUAACUUGUCCCAAGAGAAAGUCGUAUUAAAUUCCCUUUGUUGAAGUGUGUGCACAUCAACACUGUGUAUGAUUAAGGUAUCCCUUUCUUCUUCAUUAUAUUUUUUCUCCUAUCCAGUCCUUAAUAUUAUCCUGUUAUAGAAUAACAGCUACAAAUUAGAUUUAUAUUUACUUGACUUGGAAGCAUCUCAUUAUUGGAGUGAUUUGUUGGUCCAUAGUGGAAGACAUGCCUAUUUUUGAGGGCUGUUCAUUUUCCAGGAGGCUGGAGGAGGACUGGCUUAGACAAUUAGAAAGAUGAUGGAUGGAAACUCUGGAAAAGCCAGUACUCUAACAUGAUGGGGGUGACGGGGGUUCUGUUUAUGUUAAUUAAUAGUGAUUUGAAUGAGCCCAGAGGCAUUGCUAGGGAUACAUUUUGAAAUAAAUAGUAAAAUGGAAGUUUAGUGAAACAUUAUAUAACUAAUAAUUUAGAAGCAUAGAUAUUUUUUACUUGUUCAUAUAAGUACUGCUGCAGUAAGCUACAUUUGUUUUGUGUUUCCAUACAGUACAAUCAAAUAUAUAUUUUUAUGCUUCUUAUUUCUCUUUAUUCUCCAUAGAGAUCUUAUUACUACUUACACACACACACACACACACACACACACAGAACAAUACUUCAAAUAUUUGUAUUGACAUUUGUGAUUGUGUUGCUGUUUUAUCAUUUUAGGAAUGUCUCUGUGUAGAGUAAAAUGACAGUGUAAACUUAACCACAAUGCCAAAUGUUUUUUUUUUUUUGCCAAAUGUUAAUCAUUAUUUUAUGUAUUUGAUAAUUUCUAGAAAAGACAGAAGAAGAUUGGUUAGAAAGAAUUCUUGAAUUGUAAGUAUUACUUAUUCCGGAGACCUAUGUAUGAUCAGAGUGAAUAUUGACGUUAUUUGGUUGUAAUAGCUCAUAUGUACCACAGUAGAAGAGUAAGAUCUAAAAAAUGCAGUUUGUUACCAUAGCAACCCUGUGUGCUAUUGCGCAUGAUGCUUUUAUUUCCUUUAAAUGUAGAUAUUUUUGUGAAAUACAACAAAGCUUAGAUUGUUGCUCCCAAAUUUAUUUUCCCACUUUAUUGGUUAGAACAUAUUUUAGAGCAUUCUCAAAACACAAAAUUUAUGAGAAAUCUCCCCCCCGGGUUGGUAUGUGACCAUGCCUAGGAAUUAAGGAUUGUAGGUUAUAUUUAAAUACGUCAGAAAUUAAAUACUUCAGAUUCAGAAAGGAGAAAAUGUAUAGACAUAUCCAUGUUAUAUUUUAAACUUGAUAUCAAGUUGACAUUAAAAUAAACACAUUGCACUUUUCCCCCCAAAUGCCUAAAUUAUGAAAUAAACACAGCUGCUACAAUUUCAGUGUAUAUGUGUCAAUUUGAUAAGAAUUGAAUGCAUUGUGAUUUACCAUAUGUUUUCUUUCUUAAUUAUAACUCUUACUUCUAAGAGUAUUCUAUAUUUUCAUUUCUCAUAUACCCAAUAAAAAUAUUUUUGUUUCCUUUAAACCUGAUUCUGCUGAAAAAAGAGGGAAAAGAACUAAAGAUUUAGGGUAAGAGUUUAGAGAUUUGGAAGGGCCACAUAUGGAUGAGAUAAGAGGUGAGGAAUUCUCAAGAAAGGAGGGGAAGACAUUCAUUCAUUUAUCCAACAGAUAUUUAUUGAGUUGCCUCAAGCCAGAUAUCGUUUUAUAUUCUGAGGAUAUGGCAGUGAAAAUAUUCCUGCUCUCCUGAAAUUUAUGUUGUAGGGAUGGAAGUUAGGAAAGGACUAUUUUCCUUCCCUAGCCUGAGAUGGCCCCAAUAUGACAAGAUAUUAGUAAAAGCAGCAUGAAUAACCAUGGCUGUGUUUGGCUAUGGUUAACUCAAGAGUCUUCUGUCUGCUAAAUUUGAAUAUUUUGUGUCAAGGACACUUUUUACACCAUAAUUUUGAUUUUGAUGUUAAUCUUCUUCAUGCAUUCCAAACUGCCCUCUACGGAAUGGACCUCACUCACAUUAAAUUCCUAAUUUUCUUUUACUUUGUCGGGACGUUUUGUGAGUGUUGUAACUAUGUGCAUUUUUUUUUUUUAAUAAUUGAGAAAGGGUCUCCCCUUUUGUGUUUGGCAUAACAUGGGUCUUAAAGGGUAAGUAGAAAUUUAGAAAGAGGGAACUAAGUAGCAGGAAAGUCCUGUUUGGCUCUGGGAGCCCCCAAGGUCUUGCCUAUUUCAAAAUGCACUCCUUGAUGGUUGCAAAAUAUUGAUAUUGUGGCACUCCUUUGUGUUGGAGGGGUGUUGGAGAGAAUGAAUUUCCAUUUUCGAACUGCUGCUGCCUAGCUGUGUGUUUUAGUUAGUUUUGUGACACUAACCAAAAGACCUGAAGAGAACAACUUAGAGGAGGAAAAGCUUAUUUUGACUUAGGGUUUCAGAAGUUCAGUUCAUAGCACUGGCCCAAGAUGAAGCAGAGCAUUGUGGUGGAAGGGCAUGGCUGAAGGAAGCUGCUCAGGAUAUGACAACCAGGAAGCAGAGGGAGAGAGUUCUGCUCACCAGGAACAAAAUAUAAACCCCAAAGGCACACCCCCAGUGAUCUUCUUCUAGCCACACCCUAUCUGCCUGUAAUUACUGCCCAGAUUCAUCUACCAAUUAAGUUAAUGCUCUUAUAACCCAGUCAUUCCACCUCUGAACAUUCUUACAUCAUCUCACAUGUGAACUUUUGGGGGAUACCUCAUAUCUAAAUUAUAACACUGUGUGAUCUUAAGCAAAUCACCUUUUUUUUUCAGAUUUUCUAUUAUUAUUUUUUUUGUACCAUACAAUUUUAUAUUUUUUUAGUCAUACAUGACAGCAGAAUGUAUUUUGACAUAUAAUACAUACAUGGAAUGUACAUACAUCAAUCAUAUUGUCUAUUCUAUUCUGCUGCCCAACAAAUUACCUUCUUAGAGCCUCAAUUUGUUUACCUAUAAAAAUAGGUUUAUAAUACCAACCUGUCAUAGAGAUAUUAAAUGAGGAAUAAAUGCAAUAACUUAUACAAAUUAUUUUUCAUGGUUCCUUCUGCUAAAUACCUCCUUGAGUGAAAGCAUUGCUAAAUGCUCCCUAGCACAGUAGAAAUUGUGUUAUCUGGGAGAGGAACUUCUGACCCAGUAAACUUGUUAAUGCAUGUGCUUGAAUUAGUGAUAUUAACUUUUUGUUAAUUAAAUAACUAGACUUCAGGGAAUAGUAUAAAGAACAAGUUUCAAUUUAGGAACAGGUGGUUGGGAAAUGUCUGUGGGAUGGGCUCAUAUAUGUGGGUAGGACCAAAUGAAGUGUGGACUGAGGGGAUGGUAUACAGUGCUAAAUGCCAGGGGAGUGCUAUAACUAGGGCAGCAAACACUGGGAAUCUGGAAACAAACUCUGUUUCUCUCAUCAUUUGUCUGGGUUUGUGUUUGUUUAUAGCUGAGUCCUCCCGUUUUCACAGUGAUUCUGAAGACCCUGAUCACCUGCUCAGCACUGACCUGAAGAACUCUUUUCAGGGAUGGACCCAUUGGAUACCAAAAGUGGUUUGGAUAAUCUGUCCAACUAUUCUUGAUAAGUUAUCUGAAUAAUAAUAAAAAACUCAACAGAAGAGGUAACCAUUUAAGUAUUUUAUUAUUAAUUUUGAAGAUGUUUGCCAUACUUUUAUGUUACAGAAGAGUAAGGUACAGAAAAUUUGAGGAACUUUUUUUUAAAAAUUGCAUCAGGAUCAGAAGUGUAGGUCUUAUAUCUGACUAUUGGCCUGAGAUUUCAUUUCUAGAAUUCUGAAAUCCCAAAAGCUCUAAAAACCAGAAUCAUUUCUGUUUUGUUUUUCCAAUUUUUUAUUGUGGUAAAAUACACAAUAAAAUUUAUCCUCUUAACCAUUCUGAAGGUAUAAUAUCCCACCAUCACCAUCAUCCAUCUCUAGAACUCUACAUUUUAUAAAACUGCAACUCUGUACCCAUCCAUUAAACAUUUCCCCAGUCUCUGUACCCUUAGCCCCUGGCAAACACUGCUUUGUUUUAAAAAAUAAGUUUAGAAUUAAAACUAAGUUGACAGCUAAGCCUGACUCAAAUUGAUUAAUUUUACUCCUGAUUUACUCCCUAUGUGGUAUGUAUUUGAGUAUAUUCAUAUAUUUUGCUUCAGAAAUAUUAAUAUAUUUAAUUAUUAGGGACUUCCCCAGAUCCCACUGGAAAUAUAAAGUUGUUCUUAUAUGUAUUACUUCAACAAGCAAACACUUUCUGAGUUCUGAAACAUAUCAGACCUCUGGGAUUUGGUUAGGGAUUGUAGGACCUACAAUAUACUAAGGUUACUAGUAUUGUUUUAUUAUUUAAAAUUCUGUUUUAGUUUAGCUGACCUUAAGAUCUGAAAAUUCAUUUUUGAAAAAUAUAAACUCAUUCAACAUUGUAGACAUUUGCUUAAAGCCCCCGUUUUCAGGAAGCGUGUUCAACCUGUCUUAAGCCCCUCUUGGAGGAUCCUUUAUCUUUACCUUCUCCAAAUGAUACCCCUGUAGGUGUGGAGGAGGGGGUGUGUGUUUGCUGGGGGGAGUAUGCUGGGAUCAAAUCUAGGCCUAGGCCUUGUGUGUGCACUACCACUCACAUGUCCCAGUCCUGAUGUCUGUUUCUUAAACAGAUUUUGAACUCUGUUUUGGUUUAGAGCCCUACCACCAUCUCCAGAUCUUCCAAUUCCUGGGAUUUAACCACUGCCUCCCCAAACCUCCCAAACUAACCUUCUUUACAUUUUAGUAUGGGAGGUUUUAAGGAGGGGGUGAAAGUUAAUGCUUAUGUUCAAUCUGCCAUCUUUAUUAAAUAUUUAUUUAUUUGCUUUGUUUAAAGUAACUCAAUAUUUUCUGUAUGUUCAUUUUAUAUACUUUCUGUAUGUUCAUCUUUUCUUGACAGAGACCCUAGUCUUCAGUGUUUGGUGGUCCUCUUCAGGCUCCUAGAGCUAUUGUGAAAGUGUACUUGACUUUGGCCCAGAAUGUGAUUGUUUUAGCACAGAUCUGACUGGUAUUAGUGUUGUGACAUAUUCUGCAUUACUGUUUUUUUUUCUUGUUUGUCUUCCCCUAAUGUCUUCCUCAGGCUUCUAGAGGAAGGAUGAGGAAAGAGCCAGGAGGGAAGCAGAAUCAGGGGAAGGGGAAGGACAGCCAAUCAGGAGUGGGACUUUGGCAUUUGACAAAUUAUUGCUUUCUUAUAUACUUUCAACAGGAAAGCAUCUGAGGCUUUCUGGUUAAUAUAUUAGAAUCUGCAUCAUCAUAACUAUACCUAAGGAUAGUAUUAGAAAUAUUUAAUGAUGGGUAUGUUGUGGGCAGUGACCAGUUAUGGAGCACCUUUAUGCUGUGCUGAUGUAUAUAUAUAUCCAGGCUUAUACUUGGGUAUAGCAUGCCCCAGCUUUCUACAACUAUCUCCCGCUUUUAUUGCCUUUCCCUAAUUUCUGGAAUGGAGCUUUAGAGAAAUGGGUUUGGGCUAUUUUUCCUCCUUCCAGGCUCCCUCCAUGAAGCUUAAACCAAAUGUCCCUGUGCAUAGUGGCAAUAUUAGAUGCUGUGGAAUUGGAAGGUAAUGGUCCUUCCCAUAGGGGAAGUCUCUGUUAUAAGAGUGAAAUAUGGAAUUCAGAAGUAAGUGUGUGCGUGUGUGUGCGCGCGCGUGCACUCGUGCAUGUGUGUAUGGUGUAUGUGUGUGUCUUGGGGGUGUGGGUAUGUUAUCAAAACCAGACUUAGCCAAAGGAGAUUUCUGUACUGGCAGAUUUAUCCAUUAGUUUUUCUUACCUCCCCUUCUCCUUCUCUUCCUUCUUCUUUUUUUUUUUUUUUUUUGAGAUAGGGUCUCAUUAUACUCUCAAAUAACUGGGACUACAGGUGUACACCACUGCACCUGACUUCAAGUUUAUUUUCUUUAUGUCCAUAAUAGUAAUGGUUUCUAGUGUACAAAGGUGAGAUGUGGCAGUCGUUACAUGAUAGAAAAAUGGACCCUAGAGCUGAAAAGCUGGUUAUGUAAACAGAGUUUACUAAUGAGUGUUUUAUUAUAAGUAUUCUCUAAAAGGUAUCCACCUAUCUGGAGACUGUCACAUAGUUGGACUGUGGAGUUGUCCAUCAGAUGAUCUGAAAACAGCUAACAGCAAGGCUGUUCUCAGAUCUGUAAGAUUACGAUUACUUACUCUGUUUAUUCCUCACCUGACACUAUAUACUAUCUGGUUCAGUGUUUUUUUUUUUUUUUUUUUUUUGUGGUGCUGCAGGUUGAAUCUACAGUGUCAUGUAUUCUAGGCAAGUGUUUUACCAUUGAGCUAUACCCCAGACCUCCNAUUAAGCCCAAAAGAAAGUGUCUGGGAUCACUUCCAGGUACUGCUGACCGUUUUCUUCUCCUUGAAACUCUCUCCCUCUGAGCUUCCAAACACCUAUGUUAGUGUUCAGUCUACACUGCUGAUCAUUCCCUCAUCUCACCUUCUCUGGAUCUGCUUCAAGGGCACAGUCCUUAAAUGCUGGUACCCUCAGCUGUCUGUUUCUAUUCAUAGGGGCCAGAAUUUUCAAAGCUCUGUUUCCAGCUCACCUUUCUCUUUUGAGCAAUACCUCAUAUUUCCCACCAUCUAUCAGGUAACUCCACCUGUCAGAUACAUUGCACGAUCAGUGUAUCAGAACCUCUUGCUUCCAAAGCUGCAUGUCUUCCUGCUGCCAUGACACAGCCUGAGACCUCCCCCGCCCCCGCAGAGGAGAAUAGUAAUACAGUAGAUAAGAAGUCUCAUGUAGCACUGUCUAAAAGAAAUAUAAUGCCAAACACAUAUAUAACUUAUACUUUAUAGUAACCACAAUAAAACAGUGAAAAGAAACAGAUAAAGUUUUAAUGUUAAUCCAUUAUAUCCAAUGUAUUAUCACUUCAGUGUGUAAUCAAUAUAAAAAUCAAUGAGUUGGGCUCAGUGGCCCAUGCCUGUAAUCCCAGCUGAGAUUGGGAAGCUGAGGCAGGAGGAAUACAAGUUCAAAGCUGGCUUCAGCAAAAUCAAGGUGCUAAGCAACUCAGUGUGACUCUGUCUCUAAAUAAAAUACAAAAUAGGGCUGGGGAUGUGGCUCAGUGGUUGAGUGCCCCUGAGUUCAAUCCCUGGUACUAAAAAUAAAUAAAUAAAUAAAAUUAUUAAUGAGAUUUUUUUUUUCAUUUGGAACCUUAGGAAUUCAUUGCCUAUAUUAAUCUUAAUUUGCACUAGCUACAUUUUAAAUGCCCAGUUGACAAGACUUGGAGCUCCUGUAUUGGAUAAAGAAGAUCUAGAUGAAAAAGGUGGUAUUAAGGCUGGGCAAAACACUUUUUUUUUUGUAUUUAUUUAUUUUUUUUUGAAGUCUAUAUUUUUUAUUAGUUGUUCAAAACAUUACAAAGCUUUUGACAUAUCAUAUUUCAUACAUUUGAUUCAAGUGGGUUAUGAACUCCCAUUUUUACCCUGUAUACAGAUUGCAGAAUCACAUCGGUUACACAUCCACGUUUUUACAUACUGCCAUACUAGUGUCUGUUGUAUUCUGCUGCCUUUCUAUCCUCUACGAUAUCUUCCCUCCCCACCCCUCCCCUCCCAUCUUCUGGCAAAACACUUUUGUACAAAGUAAAAACUGGGGGUGCAGCUCAGUUAUAGAGCUCCUGCUUUGUAUGCAAGAUGCCCUAGGUUCAAUCCCAGCAACCCCUCUAAAAAAUAUAAUAGGGAUAUAUAGAUUAUAAAUGUCACUAUUGUUAUGAUUCAUGUAUAUUUUCUGUUCUUUGUAGUUCCCCCUAAUAUUUAGAGAAGCCUUUGCAAUUCCAUGGUUUCUUAGCAGUACUAAGAAGAAUCAAGAAAAUAUAUGUCCUGGGCUAGUUUUGUGGUAGAAUACUUGCCUGGCAUGUGCCAGACUUUGGGUUUGAUCUCCAGCACUCCCACCCCCACGAUACUUCUUCCAUGCUGGGAAGGCAUAUUUUCCCCCAAGGGAGAACAGUUCAUCCUCCUCCCUCACUUACUCUUCCCCCACCCUCAGAGGGGAAAUCCCAAGGGGGAAUCCCAAGGGGAGGUGAAGUUCCCAGAACACAGCCCCUCCCGAUUUGGACAGCCCCUUCCUGAAACUAACUCUGGAAUUUCUGGAUUUUGGUUUAGAAGGAAAUCACUUCC